rnacentral:snoRNA from 1 species
UUGCAAACUCGAUCACUAGCUCUGCAUGAUGUUGCAGAAGCAAGGGGAACCAGGUUUGCUAAAGUAAUUGUGGUGAUAGAAAUGAUAAGCCCCAGGAGCUACUGGGGUGGACUUACCUAUCCUAAUACAUUG